CCACCUGUAUCACCAGGUGACCCUGGGAUUCUGAAUAAAGCAGCGGAUCUGACAAUGUAACGAAAUUCGGCCACAAGGCUGAAUGGGAAUCGAAUCGUGAGAGGAGGUUCUUCCUGAUAACCACAGAUCGGGUAAGCGC
rfam:Xenorhabdus bovienii SS-2004 chromosome, complete genome